AGCGGCGGACGGGUGAGUAACGCGUGGGUAACCUGCCUCAUACAGGGGGAUAACAGUUGGGAACGGCUGCUAAUACCGCAUAAGCGCACAGUACCGCAUGGUACCGUGUGAAAAACUCCGGUGGUAUGAGAUGGACCCGCGUCUGAUUAGCUAGUUGGUGGGGUAACGGCCUACCAAGGCGACGAUCAGUAGCCGACCUGAGAGGGUGACCGGCCACAUUGGGACUGAGACACGGCCCAA
rnacentral:rRNA from 1 species